rnacentral:rRNA from 2 species
UACGUAGGUGGCAAGCGUUGUCCGGAAUUAUUGGGCGUAAAGCGCGCGCAGGUGGUUCCAAAAGUCUGAUGUGAAAGCCCCCGGCUCAACCGGGGAGGGUCAUUGGAAACUGGGGAACUUGAGUGCAGGAGAGGAAAGUGGAAUUCCACGUGUAGCGGUGAAAUGCGUAGAUAUGUGGAGGAACACCAGUGGCGAAGGCGACUUUCUGGCCUGUAACUGACACUGAGGCGCGAAAGCGUGGGGAGCAAACAGG